CAGUACGGUGGUUCCUAUGACUCAACAAAGAAGAAACGAAAACUAUGAAACAACUAUGUCUUUGCACUCCAUAGUCUUCACGUGAAUGUCUUCUCAUGCCAUAAUCUUCACUAUGAAUAACUUCACAGACCACCAUAGUCUUCAAUGUCUUCACACAGUUUUAGGGGUCAUCUCUGGUAGGUAAAUCGAAUCAAUAUGGGACUACUACCUGUGUUAUCCUGCAAUUCUCACAAACACAUUAGUCCCUCAACCAAGUUUGUCGUCAAUACUCCAAAACCAACUAGGGGUGGCACUAGAUGCACUUACAACAUCGCUGUUGUAGACAGUACUAGAUAUUAUACCACAUACACAGUCAUUCUGCUGUUCUGUGUAGGUCGAUAUGUCGCUGAGAUGUCAAUAUAUACUGACAUUAUUGAGCUAUAUGUCUAGUUUCAGCAAGUUUGAGAUAUUGAACAUUUUAACUUGUUGAGGUAACUUAUUAAACUGGGAUCGAACAUUUAGCCUUUCAGUGGCUUGCGAUUUGUUUCACUUAGUUUCAGCUUAGUUGCAUGCUGAAAUAUAAGAUGUUAUUAUAACUAAUAGCUGAGUAUGUUGGUUGUAAUAUCAUCUUAUAUUAUGGGAUGGAGGGAGUAGCUAUGUUAGACUGUAAUAUGUUUGUUCAAUUAAUUAACCUGCUCUCGUCUCAAUUCAUCGACUUACUGGGAUUGAAGAAAUUGAAUGUUCACACUCUGAAAUUAAAUCUGGACUCUUGGGCUACUUCAAAUAAUUUCUCCUAUUGUUGUAGCUAGAAAGUGUAAUAUCAAUUUGUAAUGGACCCAGUGUUUUUCUUCAGAUUGGGACGCUCUACCAUUGGCCUUGGCAUCAACCUUGAUGGAAUGAAGAACAUGCAAUUCCAAGAUUAUAUGGACGAGAAGCUCGACGUCGACAAGAGUGUCAGCCUGGAGCUCUGCAUCCUCCUCUACAUGUAGCAUGGAACCACCAUGGUCGGGUUGCUGAGAAGUGUUGUUGUCUGGUGUGCCUUUGGCGACCAUGGUGCAGAGGCGCUGCCAUCUGUCACGAGUUUGGUCAGCGAUGCAGCUCUGCCUACGACGGCGUUCACUCCCGUGCGGCGCCUCUAGUUGUCGCUUCUUCUUCCACUCCGGAAGAGAUUUUCAAGAAAUUUGGCGAAAGGUUGAAGAUUCUGUUUGGUGCCCAUGUCCUCGUUUGUGUGGGCCUCCCACCGCGCGACGACGGUGCUGUAUGACCUCGGCUACAUCCAUUCUCAUAAUUUGUGGCUUUUGUGUCUAGAACGACGACAAUGAUGGUUGUGGAAUGUUGGAUGACUUCCAGGCACAUGCUCACUGGUGCAAUCAGGAGCAACUGGUUCGGUGCCGAAGAAGCAAAGAUAUCAUUGUUGAAGCAGCGCCUUGAAAGCGCUGGAAGAGACAGUCUUAGAAGAUUAUUUAUCAUGGCUUGUUUGAGGAGAGAUGAAGCUGGCUCCCUCCUGGUGGCAGCAGUUCCCCAGGUGCUGGACCAUUGACAUCAUCUGCUUGUUCUUCUCCUUCCUACUCUGCCACAUGGA